rnacentral:lncRNA from 1 species
CUGACUUCUCAGUACCCUAGCCCAAAGCUUCUUAAACUGUGUGUUGACACCUCAUAUGAGUUCACAUAACUGAAUGUGAAGGAUACAAAUUUAUGAUACCCUAUCUUCAAGGAGUUUACAUACUACUUUGGGGAUACAUGCACAGGUGCAUGGAAAAUUCAGAAUCUGGGAAGAAGAGAAAGGAGAAGAGACACGGAGACAAUGCACAGCAGGAAAGCCAGGCCCAGGAAGAGGUAAAUUCCCAGGAGAGACUUUUGCACUGAGGAAUGUCUUGAAGAAUU